UACGUAGGGGGCAAGCGUUAUCCGGAUUCACUGGGCGUAAAGGGAGCGCAGGCGGCGCGGCAAGUCUGAUGUGAAAGCCCGGGGCUCAACCCCGGGUCUGCAUUGGAAACUGUCGGGCUGGAGUGUCGGAGGGGUAAGCGGAAUUCCUAGUGUAGCGGUGAAAUGCGUAGAUAUUAGGAGGAACACCAGUGGCGAAGGCGGCUUACUGGACGAUGACUGACGCUGAGGCUCGAAAGCGUGGGGAGCAAACAGG
rnacentral:rRNA from 1 species